rnacentral:rRNA from 1 species
UACGUAGGGGGCGAGCGUUAUCCGGAUUUACUGGGUGUAAAGGGUGCGUAGGCGGUUUUGCAAGUCAGAAGUGAAAUCCAUGGGCUUAACCCAUGAACUGCUUUUGAAACUGCAGGACUUGAGUGAAGUAGAGGUAGGCGGAAUUCCGAGUGUAGCGGUGAAAUGCGUAGAUAUUCGGAGGAACACCAGUGGCGAAGGCGGCCUGCUGGGCUUUUACUGACGCUGAUGCGCGAAAGCGUGGGGAGCAA